GGGCCCGCACAAGCGGUGGAGCAUGUGGUUUAAUUCGACGCAACGCGAAGAACCUUACCCAGACUUGACAUGCAUCGGACGGGUGUGGAAACACACCUUCCCUUCGGGGCCGAUGCACAGGUGCUGCAUGGCUGUCGUCAGCUCGUGUCGUGAGAUGUUGGGUUAAGUCCCGCAACGAGCGCAACCCUUGUCCUUAGUUGCUAACGGGUCAAGCCGAGCACUCUAAGGAGACUGCCGGUGGUAAACCGGAGGAAGGUGGGGAUGACGUCAAGUCCUCAUGGCCCUUACGUCUGGGGCUACACACGUGCUACAAUGGCCGGUACAAAGGGUUCCGAUACCGCGAGGUGGAGGCAAUCCCAAAAAACCGGUCUCAGUUCGGAUUGCAGUCUGCAACUCGACUGCAUGAAGUUGGAAUCGCUAGUAAUCGCUGAUCAGCAGGCAGCGGUGAAUACGUUCCCGGGCCUU
rnacentral:rRNA from 1 species